rnacentral:rRNA from 1 species
UGCGUAGACGGUAUGUUAAGUUUGUUGUUAAAGACUCUAGCCUAACUGGAGGGUUGCAAUGAAAACUGGCGUGCUAGAGGGUGAGAGAGAGAAGUGGAAUUCCUGGAGUAGCGGUAAAAUGCGUGGAUCUCAGGAGGAACACCAAUGGCGAAGGCAGCUUCUUGGCUCAUUUCUGACGUUGAGGCACGAAAGCGUGGGAGCAAACA